rnacentral:lncRNA from 1 species
ACUUACCUGGUCAAUUUGGUGAAUUAUAUCUUGAUUAGACCACUAAAUAAUUCAAGUUGACCCAUACCAUUAAGAUUGAUCAGUAUGACUGAUUUAGGUGCUAGUUCAACUAGCUUGACCUUAAUCUAAUUCAAUGACUUGGUAAAGUCAGUGGAAGGAUUAUGGUUUACUGGUUGAUCUCUUCUCAUCUCUUCUCUAAAUUGAUUAAAAUUCUCUAAAUUAUUAGAUCCUUAAAAUGAGCUAGUUAUGGGGAUAACUAGAU